rnacentral:lncRNA from 1 species
AGGGGUGUAACUUCAGAAAUGAACACAAAGAUUUAGCUACAAGAAUGUUCACAAAAGCUGUUUUUUGUUAUUUUUUAUCCGUGUGACAGAAUAGGAAGGUAAUAAAAGCUGUUCUUAACAGUGAAAAGUUGGAAAGAGCCUGACAGUUUAUUGGCUAAAUAAAAUCACGGUAUAUCCCUAUGUGGAAAAGCAGCAAGCCAUUGGGGGGAAAAAGUUGCUGACUAAAGGCCGGAGUUCUUGACCUAGUCUAAUAUGUGCAGGGGGGAAUUGAGGAGAUGGAAGGAAGCCCCUGCUCCUUUCAAUCUGGUAAGUCACCAGUUUUAUCAGCAGGGCAAGACACAGUUACCAGGAGGGGUGAGGGGGCCUUACCAUCCUAUGGUC